rnacentral:misc_RNA from 1 species
GAUGAAGAACGUAGCGAAAUGCGAUAAGUAAUGUGAAUUGCAGAAUUCAGUGAAUCAUCGAAUCUUUGAACGCACAUUGCGCCCGCUAGUAUUCUGGCGGGCAUGCCUGUCCGAGCGUCAUUUCAACCCUCAAGCCCCCGGGCUUGGUGUUGGGGAUCGGCGAGCCUCCGCGCCCGCCGUCCCCUAAAUCUAGUGGCGGUCUCGCUGUAGCUUCCUCUGCGUAGUAGCACACCUCGCACUGGGAAACAGCGCGGCCACGCCGUUAAACCCCCAACUUCUGAACGUUUGACCUCGGAUCAGGUAGGAAUCCCCGCUGAACUUAAGCAUAUCAAUAAGCGGAGGA